GAUGAACGCUGGCGGCGUGCCUAAUACAUGCAAGUCGAGCGAACGGACGAGAAGCUUGCUUCUCUGAUGUUAGCGGCGGACGGGUGAGUAACACGUGGAUAACCUACCUAUAAGACGGGGAUAACUUCGGGAAACCGGAGCUAAUACCGGAUAAUAUUUUGAACCGCAUGGUUCAAGAGUGAAAGACGGUCUUGCUGUCACUUAUAGAUGGAUCCGCGCUGCAGUAGCUAGUUGGUAAGGUAACGGCUUACCAAGGCAACGAUGCAUAGCCGACCUGAGAGGGUGAUCGGCCACACUGGAACGGAGACACGGAUCGGAAUCGUACGAGAGGCAGCAGUAGGGAAUCUUCCGGAAUGGGCGAAAGCCUGACGGAGCAACGCCGCGUGAGUGAUGAAGGUCUUCGGAUCGUAAAACUCUGUUAUGAGGGAAGAACAUAUGUGUAAGUAACUGUGCACAUCUUGACGGUACCUAAUCAGAAAGCCACGGCUAACUACGUG
rnacentral:rRNA from 1 species